UAUCCCUUUCUCUGCAACCCUCUAGAACGACAUCAAAACUUCACAAAUCGAACUCUAAAUCACCUUCAUCGUGUUCCUCUCAUCACGAACCCAGUCGCACCAACCGAUCACGAAAUGGACGAGUUUUAAUCCCUUAACUUGAAAGGUCUAACUCAGUGAGUUUUCCUUCGACGAGUUUCAGGCCGAGUUACAAGGUUUUAGGACGUGGGAAAGCUUCUACACAACUCCCUAGGGUCCUUAGAUUAAUUUUGGAGUCGAGUUAACGUCGAAAUAAGCAAGUUCGAGGAGUUGAAGGUUAGGCCGAAUCUUUCGAGGGUUUUUUAGGCCAUUUCCCAUCCAUUUUUUGGACUUUUGGAAGAAACCGGCGAACCAGACAGCAGCGAGGCUCACUAGAGAAGACGAAGAAUAUUCCAUCAAAGUUGACGGAAUAUUCUAAUGGCGUCAGGUAACGCCAUUAAGUUCUGUUACUAUUUAACGUAAUAUUCCGUCAACUCUGACGGAAUAUUCCUUGGCUUCUGUCACUUCUGACCUGCGCGUGUGGCCGUGGGCUAUGCGGCGCGUGAGGGUGCGUCUGGCCUCCGACCAGCGAGUGCUUGACACGUACGGGUCCGUCUUAGACAACCGAAUUUUCUGUGGCAUAUGAGGAAACUUCAGCGGAUUCUGAUAUACCUAAAUAAAUGUAGGGAGCCUUUUC
rnacentral:sRNA from 1 species